GGGAGCGAGAGAGAGAGAGAGAGAGAGAGCUCCAAACAGAGUCAGAGAUUGCAAUGGAAGCUUCUUCUUUUUUUUUUUCCCUUCUCUUUCGAUGGAACCGCGAAAUAGCAUACGAGAGAGUGAGAGGGAAGCGGCUGAGCUAAGCAAAAUUCGUAGGAGAAGAGGGCUGAGCUUUGGGGAGCUUCUGAACGGAGCAACAGCUCCGUUAUUUCCUUUCGUUUUGCGUAGAACAAAGCACAGUGAGGCGACCAGAAGCACACCAGAGGGAGAAAUCAAAUGGAGGAAGACAGAGAACAGAGCAAACGGAGAGAUGAGAAAGGGUCUGAAGAGGGAGAUAAGUUUCCAACUGCGCGGAGGAACCACUUUUUGAUAUCGGGGAUCAGCUUGGAGAACUAGAUUUUCGUUUUGGGCUGGAAAAUCUGAAGAAGAAAACAGAGCAAGAGAUAGAAAGAGAGACAGAGAAAGUUAAGGAAAGAAAAGGAACGAAGACAUGAGUUACCAUUCACUUCUUCUUCUUCUUCUUCUUUCCUUCUUGUUCUGUUCUGUUGCUUUCUUUUUCUUCCCUCCUUCUAUUAUGCUGCGGGAGUUAAGGGAGAAAUAGAGAAACAGAGGAUGGGAGAAGAAAGAGACAGAACAGAGUGAGCUGAGGAAGGAACCAAGGGGGAGAGGAAGGCUAGGCUCGGGUUCUUGAAGGAUCGCGGAGACUGAAUCCUAGCACUAAAAGGGUUGAUCCAAUGAGCUGUUUUUCUUGGAGUUGUCGAUAAGUUUCCAAUUGCGCGGAGGAACCACUUUUUGAUAUCGGGGAUCAGCUUGGAGAACUAGGUAGGAACCUUAGUUAUUUGAUUAGAUAUCCUUUUUGUAUAGAAUGGACUUUAGAAUGUUACGACCUGAAGAUUUUGUUUAGUUGUACCACUGAUGGGAGAGCGAAAAAGAAAUCUCUGGAAAAGUGUAUAUACCUAUUAGAGUUGAUGGAUUGGUUAUAUACUUUGGAAAUUUAUGAGAAGUAAGUUUUAUGUGAAAAUUCUUUA